rnacentral:rRNA from 1 species
UACGUAGGCAGCGAGCGUUGUUCGGAGUUACUGGGCGUAAAGGGUGUGUAGGCGGUUGUUUAAGUUUGGUGUGAAAUCUCCCGGCUCAACUGGGAGGGUGCGCCGAAUACUGAAUGACUUGGAGUGCGGGAGAGGAAAGUGGAAUUCCUGGUGUAGCGGGGAAAUGCGUAGAUAUCAGGAGGAACACCGGUGGUGUAGACGGCUUUCUGGACCGUAACUGACGCUGAGACACGAAAGCGUGGGUAGCAAACAGG